rnacentral:lncRNA from 1 species
GCGGUCGUGCCGUGCGACGUCCACGGAUCGUCGUGCUGGUACGUCUCUGUAUCGGUUUUGGAAGACGCCAGAGCGGCGGCAGCAGAGGCCAUCGAGAGGCCACGCGCCCACGGAUCCGACGCGCGGUUGGUGCGAUAGGCCUCGGCAUCGGUCUCGGCGUCGGUGGGACGACGGCGCGCGGCAGUUCGGCCCUUGCGUGCGCUCUUGUCCCGCCCUCGUCCCUUUUUCUCGUCGCGCUUCUUGCUCUUUUUCUUGUCCUUUUUCUUUUUCUUCUGGUCGUCGAGGCUGGCGGCCUUGCUGUCGCCGUCAUCGUUGUCGGCACUGCCUACUGCGCCAUCAUGACUGUCACGCGCGGUGCCGUCAAAGACAUAGGUGGGCAGCGACGACAGGGUGGGUUCCGAGGUGAGAGGCGCGUCCCACCCAC